rnacentral:rRNA from 1 species
GACGUAGGGCGCGAGCGUUGUCCGGAUUUAUUGGGCGUAAAGAGCUCGUAGGCGGCUUGUUGCGUCGUCCGUGAAAACUGGGGGCUUAACUCUCAGCUUGCGGUCGAUACGGGCAGGCUGGAGUUCGGUAGGGGAGACUGGAAUUCCUGGUGUAGCGGUGAAAUGCGCAGAUAUCAGGAGGAACACCGGUGGCGAAGGCGGGUCUCUGGGCCGAUACUGACGCUGAGGAGCGAAAGCGUGGGGAGCGAACAGG